AUGGAAGCUGCCUGUACAAAAUCUUUCCCACCGUUUCUAGAUUACAAGACAGAGAAAUACGUCCUGACUAAAAAUAGGAAGAUUGGAGUAUUUCAUCGUCUGCUUCAGCUCGGCGUUCUAUGUUAUAUAGUUGGGUGGGUGUUUAUAAUAAAAAAGGGAUACCAAGAAAGUGACAAUGAUCCACACAUUUCUGUGAUAACAAAAAUGAAGGGGGCAUCGGUGUCCAAAAAUAUCAUGGAAUUUCAAGAAAGGUUAUGGGAUGUAGCAGACUUUGUGAAGCCAUCUCAGGGAGAAAAUGUUCUGUUUUUGGUUACAAAUUUUCUCUCAACACCAGGACAAGCAUUGGGCACAUGUCCAGAGAGUCCAACAAUUUUAGAUGGCAGAUGUAGUGAAGACGUAGACUGCACCGAAGGAGAACCUGUGAUUAGUGGAAAUGGUAUUAAAACAGGAAAGUGUGAUACAACGUAUUUCACAUGCGAGAUAUAUGGCUGGUGUCCUGUUGAGAAUCCACAGAAAAUCAGGAGAACACCACUAAAUGAAGCUGAAAACUUCACACUUUUGAUAAAAAAUUCUGUGUACUUUAGCAAAUUGAAUUUGUCCCGGUCAAACACGAAGAAGACAUCAGAUGAAACAUAUUUUAAGACCUGCAAAUACGAUCCAGUCUCCAGUCCAUACUGUCCCAUCUUUAAAAUCAGUGACAUGAUUACAAAAGCUGGGCACAGUUUUAAAGAGCUGUCAUUUCUGGGUGGAGUUGUAGGAAUUGACAUUAUGUGGAACUGUGAUUUGGAUCAGUCGGGAAGCUCCUGUAAGCCACAAUACUCAUUCAGACUGCAAGACAGGAAAAACAACUUCCGAACAGCAACUUAUUACUGGGAUCGAGAGAGCCGUGAAUACAGAGAUCUCUUAAAACUCUAUGGGAUCCGCUUUGAGAUAUCUGUGACUGGAGAGGCAAGAAGGUUUGGUCUAGUCCCAACAGCCAUAAGUCUUGGAACUGGGUGUGCCUUCCUGGGUGCGAUUACACUUCUAUGUGACCUGAUUCUCUUAUAUUUGAACAGCAAGGCUGACUUCUAUUGGUAUUGCAAGUAUGAAGAGGAGGGAUUUCAAGUUUGUUGGUGCCAGCAGUGGAGAGGGCAAAAUGCCUCAACAUAGAGUACUCAGGAAUUUAUUCAUGAUUGGCAUCUUGGUGGUUAAGGGAUUGGCGCUAAACCACCAAAGAGACAAGAAGCUGCAGAACCAUAUCCAUUAGAAAAUAUAAACGUAGACUGAAGAUGACCAGGAACAUUUUCUGAGGCUUUCUUUAUUAGUAUAAAUGCACAAGAUAAUCUUCCAUUGUGCUGGGAUAAAGUAUUUCUUUUUUAAAACCAUGUUGCCUAAAGUCCCCUUUACAUGUGCUGGACAAUCGGGGCAAUUAUCGGGAAGGAGCAUUCCUAGGAACGUCCGUCUUACAAAUGCAUUGCAAG